UGCGCAGGCGGCGGCGGUAGCUCGUCAGGCUCAUAACCUGAAGGUCGCAGGUUCAAAUCCUGCCCCCGCAACCA
rnacentral:tRNA from 1 species